UGGGGAAUUUUGGACAAUGGGCGAAAGCCUGAUCCAGCAAUGCCGCGUGUGUGAAGAAGGCCUUCGGGUUGUAAAGCACUUUUGUCCGGAAAGAAAUCCUUGGCUCUAAUACAGUCGGGGGAUGACGGUACCGGAAGAAUAAGCACCGGCUAACUACGUGCCAGCAGCCGCGGUAAUACGUAGGGUGCAAGCGUUAAUCGGAAUUACUGGGCGUAAAGCGUGCGCAGGCGGUUUGCUAAGACCGAUGUGAAAUCCCCGGGCUCAACCUGGGAACUGCAUUGGUGACUGGCAGGCUAGAGUAUGGCAGAGGGGGGUAGAAUUCCACGUGUAGCAGUGAAAUGCGUAGAGAUGUGGAGGAAUACCGAUGGCGAAGGCAGCCCCCUGGGCCAAUACUGACGCUCAUGCACGAAAGCGUGGGGAGCAAACAGGAUUAGAUACCCUGGUAGUCCACGCCCUAAACGAUGUCAACUAGUUGUUGGGGAUUCAUUUCCUUAGUAACGUAGCUAACGCGUAAAGUUGACCGCCUGGGGAGUACGGUCGCAAGAUUAAAACUCAAAGGAAUUGACGGGGUCAUAGCUGUUUCCU
rnacentral:rRNA from 1 species